ACAUUCAACAAGGAAACUAUAUUACAAGAUGUACACUGGAGAGUACGGCUAGAGGAUGGUGAGGAAAGCGAUAGAGAGUUACCUGACAGUAUUGACGGAGACUGGGAAGAUGCAGAGGACGAUCUGGAGCUUGAUGAAGACGACGGCGUGGCUGCUGCUUCAAGUGACGCGGAAGAGGAAAGAAUACCUAGAGAAGAGAUAGAAGUUAUAAAUGAAGAGCUUGGAAGAGGUAAAAGGGUCAGGCGGGUUCCAACCCAUCUUAAUGAUUUUAAGAUGAGUUAAUUAAUUUAUUUCGUUGCUGAACUUUUAGUGGGCUUAGCCAUUUCAUUAAUUUAUUUGUCAAGAUUAUUUAUAGACUUUGUAACCCUAAACCUAGGGAUUAUCUUUUUAAUAAUUAACGGCAUUUGUGCCUCCAAACAAGAGGACACGGUCCUUCUUGGAAGUUUGCUAUUUCUACGUUUUUGGUGCUUUUUGGCUUGGAUAUUUUGGUGAUUACAGAUCAAGGACGGUUUCAUCACUUAUCAAUCCGUGCGCAAGAAUCGCGGAAGAUCUGUAAUCGCAGAAGAAGAUCCAGACGCUCGCGAUCGCGAAACAAGACAGGCGACCGCAGAAGCAGACGAUCGCGGAAGGCAUGCAAUCGGCAGACGACAAAUCGCAAAUGUAAAGAUCUCUAACUUGAAAAUCUCAGAAGACGAUCGCGCAGACUGUAAAGAUCUCGCGAAAGCAGCAGGCGAUCGUGGGAAGAAAAAAAACGAAAUUACCAGUGAAACAAAAAAAUCUGAUACCAUAUCAGAAAAGCUUAAC
rnacentral:lncRNA from 1 species